rfam:Chelatococcus sp. CO-6, complete genome.
CCGCGGGACACUUCCCCCCAACGGGAAGCGCCCAUCUGAGAGGAUGGAUACA